rnacentral:tRNA from 1 species
GGAAGCGUGCCCGAGCAAAGGACUACACUGAUAAAGUAGACACGGAGCCUAUAAACUCCCGCCUCCC